GCAAGUCGAACGGAGAUAUUUGAGUUUACUUAGAUAUCUAGUGGUCGGACGGGUGAGUAACAACGUGAGCAACCUGCCUCUGAGAGAGGGAGUAGCUUCUGGAAACGGAUGGUAAUACCUCAUAACAUAUACUUUAGACAUCUUUAGUAUAUCAAAGAUUUAUCGCUCAGAGAUGGGCUCGCGUCUGAUUAGCUUGUUGGCGGGGUAACGGCCCACCAAGGCGACGAUGGGUAGCCGAUUUGAGAGGAUGAUCGGCCACAUUGGAACUGAAACACGGUCCAAACUCCUACGGGAGGCAGCAGUGGGGAAUAUUGCGCAAUGGGCGAAAGCCUGACGCAGCGACGCCGCGUGAGGGAUGAAGGUCUUUCCGGAUCGUAAACCUCUGUCGGAAGGGAAAAAAGGUGCAGGGUGCCAAUCAGCCCUGCAUUGAUGGUACCUUCAGAGGAAGCACCGGCUAACUCCGUGCCAGCAGCAGC
rnacentral:rRNA from 1 species